CCUACGGGAGGCAGCAGUGGGGAAUAUUGGACAAUGGGCGAAAGCGAUCCAGCAAUGCCGCGUGUGUGACGAAGGCCUAGGGUUGUAAAGCACUUUCACCCGCGAGGAUGAUGACGGUAGCGGGAGAAGAAGCCCCGGCUAACUCCGUGCCAGCAGCCGCGGUAAUACGGAGGGGGCGAGCGUUGUUCGGAAUUACUGGGCGUAAAGGGCGUGUAGGCGGCCUUGUCAGUCAGGCGUGAAAUCCCCGGGCUCAACCUGGGACGUGCGCUUGAUACUGCAGGGCUUGAGAGCGAGAGAGGUAAGCGGAAUUCCCAGUGUAGAGGUGAAAUUCGUAGAUAUUGGGAAGAACACCAGUGGCGAAGGCGGCUUACUGGCUCGUUUCUGACGCUGAGGCGCGAAAGCGUGGGGAGCGAACAGGAUUAGAUACCCUGGUAGUCCACGCCGUAAACGAUGUGUGCCAGACGUCGGGGGUUAGGCCUUCGGUGUCGCAGCUAACGCAUUAAGCACACCGCCUGGGGAGUACGGCCGCAAGGUUAAAACUCAAAGGAAUUGACGG
rnacentral:rRNA from 1 species